GUGGUGUAGGCGGGCGUGUUAAGUCAGUGGUGAAAUACUCCGGGCUCAACCCGGAAACCUGCCAUUGAUACUAUCAGUCUUGAAUAUUGUUGAGGUGGGCGGGAAUAUGUCAUGUAGCGGUGAAAUGCAUAGAGAUGACAUAGAACACCGAUUGCGAAGGCAGCUCACUAAACAUGUAUUGACGCUGAGGCACGAAAGCGUGGGGAUCAAACAGGAUUAGAUACCCGUGU
rnacentral:rRNA from 1 species